AAACUGUGUUGUGGGCAUGAACUAACAAGUUCCUUAAACCGCUUCCAACAUUGAAAGAAUGUUUUAUCUUCCUUUUGUGCGAACUUCAUGAUUGACUUUCUGAGGGU